UCCGAAUUGGUGUAGUGGCUAACAUAUGACGCUCUCAAAGAUGUGCCGUCAUGCCCGGGGUUCGAUUCCCCGAUUCGGAG